UACUCUCGCGCAUUAAAAUCAUCUCGUUCCCAACAGAUUGACUGUUCCUUGUUCGUUCGUCAUAUAUGAGUCGACAGGAUAAAACCUGAAACCACGAAUAUGCCUCCCAAGCAUCAACGGCUCGUUAUUUCCAAAAACAACGGCGGAGUCAACAAUGUACCGACACAGAAUGGCUCCGUCUCUCUGAAUCCAAGACUGACUCCUUCAAUUGGACACAAGAAGAUAAAGUACGGCGUUUCAGGUCGUUGAAUUGGCAAACAGGUCCGCGGAGCUGUGCAACCCAUCGCCGAUGACAAUCUCGACGAAGGAAGCGUGUGACAACGGCGACAGAUCCCGACAUGAGCCUCUCAGGGAGGAGCAAAAGGGUCGUGCAUUGAGAGACCCUCUUAUUGACAGUGCCUGUAACAAACUUGUCAUGGAGGGAGAGGCUGCUUUCAGACGGGGCUGCUUUGUACAGAGGCGCAGCCACAUUAUCGUUCACACAUUAUCUUUCAUUUCAUCUCUACGAUGGGACACGUCGCAGGUUGCAAGCGCUUAGUAGCUGUAUGCAGCUUAGAACUCCGAAAGGUAAUUUUUCUAUGUCAAACACGACACAGACACGACACAUAACAGAACAUUUAACGGCGGAGAUACGAGAUGGAGGCAGCAUUUUCUUGAAUCCGCAAAAUAGAGAUACAAGAGAGGAGGAUAACGUGAGACUCAAUAUCGUUUUAUCAGUGGACGACAGACAUCCUUCAGAACAUAAUUCGUGCUCGCACCUUACGUGGAAAUCUACAUCCAAUUGUUAUUAUUACAGUUUGUGCUAAUGUAUAGCCUUACCGCUGUUCCAUCUUUGUCUAUUUUUUAGCGAAUAACGCGUAUUUUAUCAAACAUGAGCUAUGAAAUUUAGCGGGAGUCACGGGGCUACCGAAAAAGAGGAGGAGGUGGAAAUAUCUAAUAGUAAUUGGGAGUAGAUUUGCACGUAAUGUGAGUCCGCCCACAAUUGUGUGUUUAUUGACGAAAAAUUAUUGUGGAAAAAGACGAUUGCACUGUUCUUGCAAUGGCAAAGCUUUGUCAACAGCAGAAAGUCUGUAGUAUACUCGGGCCUCUCGCUGUUGUGCAUUAACACACGUCUUAGAAAACAUGAAAACGAAGCGAUAAAUUUUAUUGCUGCACGUGAGCUAGGGCUGUUUCACAUUAACGUUCUUCUCAUCCGUGUGCUGUCCGUUCUUUUAAAUUACAGCACACGGACUCACUAUUCACACAUUCUUCUUCUGUUUUUUUUUUCAUGAACCGUGUGUCCGUCCCGACAAACUCCCCGCUUGAAGCGUUUUUCUGGAAGGGAGACGCAGUUGUGUGGAUGGAAGCGGAACGUACACACGGAUGGUCAUUGACUGGACUCAUUCAUUAAUUGGACCCUGCUUGUUCUUGUUAUUCCUCUUGGUAAUCUUGGGGUAGCAUUUGUCCUGUAUUUCUACUUUCUUUUCUAUUCGCUGUUCUGGAGUAGCCUGUCCAGACUUUGUCGGUGCUCACAUGUGCAUAUUUUUUAUUUUUCGAUCGAUCGAUCAAUCAAUCAAUCAAUCACACAAAUGCGACAAUUUUUGCGUCCGUUUUUUACCGACGUAAAAAGCGCCACGUUCGUGUAAAUGAGCCAUUAUAUCAGCACCUAGCUCUUGCAAUAGCUGCUCCCCUUGUUCUAAAAACACAAGAACUCUUGCCGAUCGUAAACAGGAACCAACACGAACGUUCCCGCAUCUUCCUGGAAUCUACCUCCACGGCUACCAUCCUAUGUGUGGCGAGUCCGCCCUCCAUUGUUAUCGUUCCCCGUCUUGUUGACCUUCUAAGCCGUACCUACGUGCCCUUCGAUUUUUUUUGUAGGUGUGUUAACAUCGGAAUAAAUGUUUCAUUACUGGUU